rnacentral:rRNA from 1 species
GACGGAGGAUGCAAGCGUUGUCCGGAAUGAUUGGGCGUAAAGCCUCCGCAGGUGGCAGUUCAAGUCUGCUGUCAAAGACCGGGGCUCAACCUCGGAAAGGCAGUGGAGACUGAACAGCUAGAGUAUGGUAGGGGCAGAGGGAAUUCCUGGUGUAGCGGUGAAAUGCGUAGAGAUCAGGAAGAACAUCGGUGGCGAAGGCGCUCUGCUGGACCAUAACUGACACUCAGGGACGAAAGCGUGGGUAGCGAACAGG